GUCAUGAAACUUCUCAGGCUGCAGACACCGGCUCCUCUGUUCGAUGACUCCUUGUCCCAGGCUCCAAGCCCAGGCACCGGUGUCUCCGUCCAGUACAGACAUCCACACAUCCCUUUGUGCCAAACAUGGGAUGAAAGGAAAUGAUUGGCAGCAGCAACUCCAGCUUUUAACAAGCUGGAGAAGGUGCUGACCACCAAGAGGCUCCUGAAGGAUGUCGGGAAGCAGAGUCCACGCCCCCAGACGUCUUCCAUAGAGGCACUUCGCUAUGUCAUUUCCACUUCUUGGAAUGGUGUGCAGGCUGCACUUUACUGAGAUUGCUGACCAGGCACAAACGGUGGCAGGAGGCCCUUGAUUUAAAGGCCUGGAUGUGUUGCGACACCAGUCAAGAACAAGUCGACACUCUCUUGGCUGCUGCUUGAGGGGCCUCAAUCCAGAAUGUCGUUGUGGCCCCAGCUCCAUCAGCAGCGGGCUGCAAUCUUCAGGGCUGCCUUAGGCGCUAGGAAACUCCACGCAGGCAGAACCACCACUGGGACCAGCUCAUGUGUGGAACAUUAAGCGACUGACAAAGGUGUGCUCUGAAACAGAGGCGGAAGACAAUAGUGGACCAAGCCAUCAGCAGGUUGCAGCAUAAAAAGGUCUUGGGAAGAGCACAGGACAGUCAGGCAGGACUGGCUGCGGAAGAACCAGGGCAGUUCUGGUCCAAAACCACAAGGGAGAAGAGGAAGACCUUGGUCAUGGAGGAGGUCACGCUGACGAAGCAGGAGCAUUACCUCAUCAAGGCCAUGUCCCAGUGGCAGCAAGGAGCAUGGACAUGAUGGUAGCCAACACAAGCAGAGGCAUUAGUUGGGCAGACAUCUGCUGAACUCCGCAAGCACAACUCAGCUUCCUGAUAACUUAUGACACCCUCCCAUGUCCCCAAAACCUGUUCCAGUGGUUUGGGAAUAAGGAUAAAUGUCUGCUGUGCAGCAACAGCAACUCAGGCCUCCAGGAAAUCCUGCUGGACUGCAAGGUGGCACUGGCACAACCUAGUGCUGAGGAAGCUAGUAGAGCUGUUGGGUUAAGUGGAGGGUGGGGCCAAAUGACUCCUCAGGUUUAUUCCCAUUGUCAAGCCAGGAGAGUUCAGACAAAAGCCAACAGCAGGGAAGACAACAUCCCUGCUUUCUCCUGGAAAGGCCUGGAAAAUAAGAGUUGACCUGGACAAACAGCUAGCUCUCCCACCUGAGAUCACACACACUACCAAGAGCAUCGAACUUACUGUCCCUUACAAGGAGAGGUUGCCAGCAACACGAGUGCAAACAGCUGAAGUACUCUGAGCUAAUGCUUGGUGGACUGCAACCAUUGACUCAGUGGAUGCAGGGGCUGUGUGGGCAAAUCAGCAGUCCAACGGCUAGAAACGGCUAGGACAAGUCUACAGAAGGCCUUCAAAAAGCUAACAGAGAAGGAAAGCUACUGGCCACAGCGAAGGGGGAGGGACAGAAUCUGGAGCACCAGAAAGGGAAGCUGCAUACACUGGUGGAGGUGUGACAGACAAGACACCAGGCAGGUAGAACAUCACCUGUACAAUAAGCAAAUCGCUUUUGAUGCUCAUUAUUUCUGAAAAGAUUCCUCCCAGUCUCAAGUUCAAGGGUUAGGUGUUAGGGUUUGGGCAUGUCAACCGAGACAUUAUGUUUCCCCUGAGACUGGAUUUCAAAACCUCCUUUUAAGUAGGAGAAAUUUAAUAGAAAUGAUUCCUCCACAGUUAAAUUAUAAAAAGCCUGAUGCUGCAGAAUCAUUAUUACUAAGCUAUCUCAGCUCUAUCUGAAUAACGCAGUUACUCAGACCUUCCAGUUUAGAGGUCAAGGAGUUGGUAUAAUCUCCAAACAAUGUGGCUGCUAAGACAGAGACAAAUCAAUUUUUUUUUUUUUGUCAAGGCCAUGAUCAGAAUUAGGGAAAUGCAUUACACAGAAAGACUAGCAGAAUCCCUCAAUGAGUUAUUGAUUAAAGCGUAUUGAAUAAGAACCAGUAGGAGCCAAGGAAUCAUCUUCGGCUCUGAUUCACCGUGAGAGGACAGACAGCCAGCCUCCCUGGGAGGGAGGGGAGAAUUAUCCUGGCAGUGCAGAGCAGGGCUCCUGCAGCAGUGAGCAGGCACCACGAGGACUCAGUGGAUAACGAGCAGUCUUUGUGAUGUGUGCUGCAGGGGCUAGUGAAGGCUGAGCCAGGGAACAGUAAUGAAGUGCAGGCAUUCGUCUAAAGCCACACAGACAUUCAGACACACUAUAUGAAUGCACCUCUGUUGUCCUCCGUGCCUACCUUUCCCCCUUUCACUGCUAUUUGAUAUGAUUUGACACAUUUCUGCACAUGAUGCUGGAUCUUAUUCCCAUUAUGGAAAUCAGGUACUGCAUUGGCCACAGUAGCAUUGUCUAAGAUAUCCAAGUCCAGAGGUACAUGUAUUAAAGAAAAUGUCUUCUGUACAUGUAGAAUUUUAAAGACCUGAAUAAAUCAUCCAAUUUGUAAUCACAUAACUUUCAACAAAUCUUGUCUGUAAAGUGAAUCAGAAUUUCCUUAAAGGGGAAUGAAUCUUGAGAUCUUUGGUUUCGUUUAACAGUUAAAGCACUUCCUAGACAAAAAGGUUUGUGUGUGCAUGCUAGUUUGUAUGCAGUGCCAGUUGCUGGGUGGCUGGUGAGGACAACGCACCCCGACCUUUGCUUCCACAACAUGUAAUGCACUUGUCACUGCUGCUUUACAAUUCAUGGACCACCCCUAGAACAAGGCUCUCGGAAUAACAUUCCUCAGAUUUGUGUAUAAUUAUAAAUGCACAUGCGCACACAAACACAUUGUAGCUUCACCUCAUCACUACUUUGUAACUGUCUGACAAUUUCUUCCUCACUUUACAGCUCGAUCUCAUUCAACGAACAACAUAUUUCAGCUAAAACGGCGUGGUAAUGUGCACGUUAUCAGGAGCAGGUUCUACUUGAGUUACUGCUGUCAGCGAGGGCUGAAAACAUAAUGACAGCUGACUGCUGUGUCAACCUCUCUGAACACAUGACUACUGCUACUGUACAGGUGUCACAGUUAGGCAUGGGGGUAAAAAAAAAA